rnacentral:misc_RNA from 1 species
UCAAACUUGGUCAUUUAGAGGAAGUAAAAGUCGUAACAAGGUUUCCGUAGGUGAACCUGCGGAAGGAUCAUUAUUGAAUAACACUAGAUGGGUUGUCGCUGGCCUUUCGGGGCAUAUGUGCACGCCUGUCUUUGUUCUAUUCAUCCACCAGUGCACCAUCUGUAGGCUUUGAGGGCUGUGAGCAGCCAAUAAUCAGUCAAAAGACUGGACGAGAGGACUGCAUGCACACUGAGAGUGUGCAGCUUUCCUCAGCUGUUGGCUGUGAAUCUCCCUUGGGUCUAUGUCUUUUAUAUAUAAACCAUGUAGUAUGUUGCAGAAUGUACUCAAUGUAGGCCUUGCGCCUAUUAAAACAUCAUACAACUUUCAGCAACGGAUCUCUUGGCUCUCGCAUCGAUGAAGAACGCAGC